GAAAUGCGAUAAGUAAUGUGAAUUGCAGAAUUCAGUGAAUCAUCGAGUCUUUGAACGCACAUUGCGCCCCUUGGCAUUCCGAGGGGCACGCCUGUCCGAGCGUCAUUAUCGACCCCUCGAGCCGCCCCGCUCGGUGUUGAGCCCCGCCCCUCACCGCGGCGGGCUUCGAAAGCAGUCGGCGGCGACGGCGCGGUCCCGAGCGUGAUGCACUCACGGACUCGUCGGAACGCGCCAGCCGGCCCGCUCGACCACCCAAGACGUUGACCUCGGAUCAGGCGGGGACACCCGCUGAACUUAA
rnacentral:misc_RNA from 1 species